rnacentral:rRNA from 1 species
CUUGGUCAUUUAGAGGAAGUAAAAGUCGUAACAAGGUUUCCGUAGGUGAACCUGCGGAAGGAUCAUUAAAGAGUAAGGGUGCUCAGCGCCCGACCUCCAACCCUUUGUUGUUAAAACUACCUUGUUGCUUUGGCGGGACCGCUCGGUCUCGAGCCGCUGGGGAUUCGUCCCAGGCGAGCGCCCGCCAGAGUUAAACCAAACUCUUGUUAUUUAACCGGUCGUCUGAGUUAAAAUUUUGAAUAAAUCAAAACUUUCAACAACGGAUCUCUUGGUUCUCGCAUCGAUGAAGAACGCAGCGAAAUGCGAUAAGUAAUGUGAAUUGCAGAAUUCAGUGAAUCAUCGAAUCUUUGAACGCACAUUGCGCCCCUUGGUAUUCCGAGGGGCAUGCCUAUUCGAGCGUCAUUAUCACCCCUCAAGCUUCGGCUUGGUGUUGAGGCCUGCUGUAAAGGCACCCUCUAAAAUCAGUGGCAGUGCUGUCAGGCUCUAAGCGUAGUAAUUUCAUCGCUAUAGGGUCCUGGUGGAUACUCGUCAGAACCCCCCCAUUUUUUAAUGAUUGACCUCGGAUUAGGUAGGGAUACCCGCUGAACUUAAGCAUAUCAAUAAGCGGAGGA